UGAAUUGAGGGGAGCUUUUCAUUGAUCUGUCUACAGCAACAUGCAGAUCCCGUUCUUGGGUUGAGUAGCCGAUAAUCUGUUCUGCUGCCGUCGCUAGGUGUAAUGCAUGUUCAGUAGGGGUUUCUCCCCUCUUCCCUUUUUGUAUUUCCUCUCCCUACUAGUGUUGGGGUGUCCUUCUCCUCAGAGUGUCAGUCCUACUGAGCCUCAGGCCAUGGUCUCCAAGGUUUUGGAAAUGUACCGACCUGUCCUGGACAUGGUCCCUGCCAGCUCAUGUGACGCUGGCUUUGCUGAGCCUGCUGCUGGGGAAGAGGAAAACUUUGUCUCUCAGCUGGAUGUUCCCUUCAGGUGCCCAGUCUUUAGUGUGGCUCGAAUGUCCAUGGAUCAGGGUUCACUGACCCAAGAGAUGGCUUUAAAAAAUAUGAACAUUUUCACAAACACACUGACUUUCUCAAUUUUCUAUUUCUUGGUAACAUUUCAUGGAUCUUUUGGAGUUGAAUCGGUAAAAAAAUACAGGAAAUCAGGGUGUUACCAAAAGGAUAUAAUAUAAAGUUUGCAGUUAAAGGUAUAGAAAGGAGCUGAAAAGGCAGCUGCAGACUUUAAGACUGUUUCUUUAAGCAAGAGGGGGCAAUCAAUGUGACCCCAAAAACCUUGGGACUCAUAAUCUGA